GCGAGAGUGGCGGAACUGGCAGACGCACGGGUUUUAGGUACCCGCGAGCGAAAGCUCUUCAGGGUUCGAGUCCCUGCUCUCGCACCA
rnacentral:tRNA from 1 species